CGUUGCCACACGUGUCACAAGAAAGGCAGUAGCCUAUGUAAAGUGUGGAGACAAAAUUGAAGUAGAGCAACACAGAUUUACGGCAUUCAGUGUUGUAACAGAUGGAAAUAACACUUACAUUUCAUCGAAGAAUGGUGAGACCCCAGAAUUUGAAGAAGGGGCCAGCUACGUGGUGAAAAACCACACCAUAUCUAGCAAGUAUGGAAAGCCAAGUAUAUUUGUAAAAUCAGCCACAAGCAAAUUUAAAACAUCCCAACUGAGUCUUACUGAAGAUCAGGAGAGAAGGGCCAGAGAGAUCCUUGUUCCACAUUCCCCUCUGGUCUCCGUGGACAAAGUGGACCCUUCAGAAGAUGGGUACGUCAGUCUCCUGGGAGAGAUAGAGGAAGUAAGUACAUUUAACAGAGGCAUCUCAUGCGUAAUGCAGUGCAGUGACUUCAUUCUCAUAAACAAAUGCAAAUUUAACAAACCUUAAAAAAAAAAAACUAUGUUGAAUGUUUACAAAUUGCUCUUGUCACUUUGUCGUAGAGCACUAUGCACCAGUCUUAAUCUGCUUAAAGUCAAACACACGUUAAAGGAAUAGUAAUCAUAAUUUAUAAAAUUCUUUGUUCUGCUGAACACAAAAGUUGUUAUAUGUAAGAAUGUUUGUAAUCAAGCAGUUUUAGGUCACCACUGACUUCCAUAGUAUGAAAAAAAAAGUAAUAUCAAUCAAACUGCAGUUUAUAUAUAUAUGGUGCCCCGGAACUGUCAGGUUACAAACAUUCUUACAAACACCUUCCUUCGGAUUUAGAAGAGCAAAGAAAAUCAUACAGGUUUGGAACAACCUGAGGGUGAGUUAAUUAUGACAAUAUUCAAUUUGGGUUGAACUAUCCUUUAUGGGAUAUUAUAAAUCUGCAGAAUAUAGCAUGAAAGAUAUGUGGGCAACCUUCAUGCUUUUUUGGUAGGGGCAUGUUCGAGUACUGCACUGUAACAGAACGCCAGUAAUGUUACCUCUGGUAUGUGAUUUGUAGUUGCAGGAGGUGAGGAUGGCACAGGUGCAAUUUGGUAAAGUGCCCGUCCUGGACUUUAAGCUAAACUGCAACUCAAGAGCAGUUGAGGUUUCUCUGUGGAGAGAUGAGGCUCUUAUCGAGGUGUUAAAUGGAGACACUGUGGAGCUGACCCACCUCCGCCCAAACACUAAACCGAAUGGAAACAUUAAAUUCAAUUCUUCCACAUACACCACCGUAAAGGUUUCAGAAAGGCGGCUCAUUGAGGAGACGGUGGAGGUGAUCGGAGUGUCUUCCGGAAUGGGCGUGAUCGUGCUUCUGGGGGUCGAUUAUGAGGAGUACAUUGUCCCAGACACAAUGUAUUCAGGAGACGUUGAGG